rnacentral:rRNA from 1 species
CGUAACAAGGUCUCCGUAGGUGAACCUGCGGAGGGAUCAUUACACAAAUAUGAAGGCGGGCUGGAACCUCUCGGGGUUACAGCCUUGCUGAAUUAUUCACCCUUGUCUUUUGCGUACUUCUUGUUUCCUUGGUGGGUUCGCCCACCACUAGGACAAACAUAAACCUUUUGUAAUUGCAAUCAGCGUCAGUAACAAAUUAAUAAUUACAACUUUCAACAACGGAUCUCUUGGUUCUGGCAUCGAUGAAGAACGCAGCGAAAUGCGAUAAGUAGUGUGAAUUGCAGAAUUCAGUGAAUCAUCGAAUCUUUGAACGCACAUUGCGCCCUUUGGUAUUCCAAAGGGCAUGCCUGUUCGAGCGUCAUUUGUACCCUCAAGCUUUGCUUGGUGUUGGGCGUCUUGUCUCUAGCUUUGCUGGAGACUCGCCUUAAAGUAAUUGGCAGCCGGCCUACUGGUUUCGGAGCGCAGCACAAGUCGCACUCUCUAUCAGCAAAGGUCUAGCAUCCAUUAAGCCUUUUUUUCAACUUUCGACCUCGGAUCAGGUAGGGAUACCCGCUGAACUUAAGCAUAUCA